rnacentral:tRNA from 1 species
GGUUACGUGGCCGAGUGACAAGGUGAAGGUCAGCAAAACCUUUUACGACGGUUUGAAUCCGUCCGUAACCU